rnacentral:rRNA from 1 species
CUGGGGAGUACGGCCGCAAGGUUAAAACUCAAAUGAAUUGACGGGGGCCCGCACAAGCGGUGGAGCAUGUGGUUUAAUUCGAUGCAACGCGAAGAACCUUACCUACUCUUGACAUCCAGAGAACUUGCCAGAGAUGGCUUGGUGCCUUCGGGAACUCUGAGACAGGUGCUGCAUGGCUGUCGUCAGCUCGUGUUGUGAAAUGUUGGGUUAAGUCCCGCAACGAGCGCAACCCUUAUCCUUUGUUGCCAGCGAGUAAUGUCGGGAACUCAAAGGAGACUGCCAGUGAUAAACUGGAGGAAGGUGGGGAUGACGUCAAGUCAUCAUGGCCCUUACGAGUAGGGCUACACACGUGCUACAAUGGCGCAUACAAAGAGAAGCGACCUCGCGAGAGCAAGCGGACCUCAUAAAGUGCGUCGUAGUCCGGAUCGGAGUCUGCAACUCGACUCCGUGAAGUCGGAAUCGCUAGUAAUCGUGG